AAAAAUUGUGUACUAAUCUCUGACCAAAAUUUCAAAUCGUAAACCCUAAACUACAUCGCCGCUUUCAUUCUUUUCAUAUCUUUGUGUUUUCUCCUCUCCAUUGAAGACGCUUCGAUUCUUUGAGAAUUGAAUCAGAGAGAAGCAAUGCAAAAUAAGGGUUUUAUUUGCCAGUUUCCUUACCAAACCCAAACACGCCCCCAUCUUUGCAAUCUCUCCAUCUAUCAUCUUCGCCAUUUCUUUCCUUCAGAUAAUGGUUUGUUGUUCAAAUCCAUUGUAAAAAAAGGUAUGAUUUUCAUUCUCAUCCCAAACCAUACAUAGAGAAUCAUCAAAGCAUCAAUCAAUUCGAGGGUCUUGCUUAUGCUCUGUAAUAAGUGAUGGCAUAUUAGGUGAUGAAAGUUCAGAUAUCUUUGCUGCGAACUCAAAUGCACAUGUUCUAUUUAUUAAUUCUAUAUUGAAUGAUGUUUUGGUACAUAAGUUAAGGAAGAUUUAUUACACUAUUUAAUUUUGAAUAGUUGCUGAAUGAUGACGAUGUGAGCAUUGGAGGGACCAUGUGCAUCAGUUGGGAGUGACCAGCUUAGAAUCAAAUCGGGUUAUGUGAGGUUAAAUUAAGCCUAACCCAUGAGUUGGUGAAGAGUUGCUCACAACCACCAAUAACCAUGUCGGCCAUCAACAAUGGGAGUUGGAUCAUGACAAAAAUGGCGUGUUUGAUCAUUUGAGUGAAUGUUGGUGCUGAUGUGGCGCAAUAUUAGAGCUCCUCAUUCUUGGUUUUGGCUCCAAACUACCGGGUUCUUUUUUAUGAGUGAAGCCCAUUUCGCAAUACCCGACCCCCAAUACGGUGAUGGAUCCUAUAAAAUCAUUUCUUUUUUUUUUCAUUCACCUCCUCACUUUUCAUAUUUCUCUUCAUGUUCUCCCAUAAACCCUUUAAACAACGGAUGUGUUUUUCUGUAUAUUCAUAUAUCUUCACUUUCUCCCAUAACACCCUUUAAUCAACCACCGUUUAUUAUCAGUAUCUUCAAUGUCUUCAAUCUUCUAAAAAAGUUAUGUAUAUAUGAGAUGUUUAUGUUAUUGUUUUUUUUAUUCUGAUUCACCGAUCUUCUUUUUUUUUUUGUUUCUGUGAUCAACAUCUUCUUUUGAGGUAUUGUUUUGUAUUUUUCUUAUUAUCUUCAUCGAAUUUGAACUAUAUGCUUUCCGAUGUUUAUGGAAACUUGAUUUCCGAUCGAUUUGAAUAUUGUUAACCGCUUAUUGUUUUGUUAUUAAUUGCAUGUUAAUUUUCGCCGAUCGUUGUCGCCCAUGUAUUCAUUUGACAAAAUCUAGUAGAAGAACAUCAGGUAACUAUUCAGCUUCCCCGAUUUUAAUCGCGUAUCUAAAUUUUUAUCAAUAUUUUCUUGGUUUUUUUUUUGUUUGUGAUUGAGUUACAAGACACCGACACAGACGAUGCUGAUGAUUCUGAUCCUAAUUAUGUUGAAUCUAUGGACGAUGAGUCGAAUGAUGUUUCUUCACUUUUCGACGACUCUGAUAGUGAUGUUGUUUCUACUGAUGGAAUGUCCGAUGAAGAUGAUGAGCAAGAUAGGGAUUCACCAGAUUAUCAUAAAGUUGAUCCAGACAAUCAUCCUAUAGAGUUCAUAUGGAAAUUUGACAGGCGUUUUAAUUGACAUGACUAUGAAGAUGUGUGUACAAAACUUCUCUGGUGCUGAGAAAAUGGUGGUGGUUUUCGUUAUUAUGCUUCAGAAUGGCGCAAGAAGUUUACAAAACCAAAUGGUAUAAAUCAUCCAAACAAGUGCGUCUUUGUUUAUUGUGCAGUUCAAAACAAAUCGAUUCUGAAGAAGGUGUUAAAGUAGUUGCAUUUCCUGGUUCAAUGCAAUCUAAUGAUCAGUUUUUUUGGAUGUUAUGUUAAUACCAAGUAGUUGGGUUUGUUAUCAGUA